rnacentral:rRNA from 1 species
GACAGAGGCCCCGAGCGUUAGGCGGAAUCACUGGGCUUAAAGCGUGUGUAGGCGGACCGGUAAGUACCUUGUGAAAUCCCACGGCUCACCCGUGGAACUGCUGGGUAUACUGCCGGUCUCGGGCCAACUAGGGGCAACUGGAACAAGCGGUGGAGCGGUGAAAUGCGUAGAUAUCCGGAAGAACACCGGUGGCGAAGGCGGUUAGCUGGGCAGUUGCUGACACUGGAGGCGCGACAGCCGUGGGGAGCAAACAGG